UUAGGUCUCAGCCUUAGAUUCAAGGACAGUCCAAGGAAGUCCUAAGACCAUGGAGUUGGUGACCUGGGAUCUGGGUUUGCUGGUAUUUCUCACCAUGAAUCUCUUGGUUGUGUUUAUGGACACCAGAGGGGCAGAGAAUAGAGAGUGAGGCUAACACAUGAAGCGUCACCAGAGCUGCUCCCUGCUGCCUGCUCAGAGCACCUCAGAUCCACUGUUCAAUCUGCACAAGAUUCGGGGUCCAGACAUGGAAGACUUCAGCUGCCUCGGAGGACCGUGGACAGGGAAGGCCAGCCCCGCAUCCCUCUGGCCAUGCCUGGUAUGACUUUAAUAACUAAGAGUUUUAUUCUUGAAUUUGUAGCUGUCGUUCACUUUUUACCCACCCAUUCAAUAAACCUUACAGAAUUGCUCCA